UAAUUUAGUAGGCACUUUUAGGGAAGAAGAUCAGCAGCUUUCCAUGUAUGAGAAUUUCACUAGUCCUUUACAACAAAAGUAUGCAGGUGGAGGGCAAAGGGG